UAAUUACUUUGAUCAUUUUAUGGAUCCAGUUGUCAUUUCUUAGAUAGAAUUCCAUAGAGAGACAAAUCAAUCAUUUUUCUCGAGCCGUACGAGGAGAAAGCUUCCUAUACGUUUCUAGGGGGGGUGUUGUUCAUCUAUAUCUAUCCCAAUGAGCCGUCUAUCGAAUCGUUGCAAUUGAUGUUCGAUCCCGAAGAGAAGGAAANAAAACUUUGACUCAAUCAUUUUUCUCGAACCGUACGAGGAGAAAGCUUCCUAUACGUUUCUAG
rnacentral:lncRNA from 1 species